GUACGUUGUGGCGCAGUGGGAGCGCGCAUGGCUCUGACCCUGAGGUCCCUGGAUCGAAACCAGGCGCGUACA